rnacentral:rRNA from 1 species
GCAGCAGUGAGGAAUAUUGGUCAAUGGACGAGAGUCUGAACCAGCCAAGUAGCGUGAAGGAUGACUGCCCUAUGGGUUGUAAACUUCUUUUAUAUGGGAAUAAAACGUUCCACGUGUGGGAUUUUGUAUGUACCAUAUGAAUAAGGAUCGGCUAACUCCGUGCCAGCAGCCGCGGUAAUACGGAGGAUCCGAGCGUUAUCCGGAUUUAUUGGGUUUAAAGGGAGCGUAGGUGGAUUGUUAAGUCAGUUGUGAAAGUUUGCGGCUCAACCGUAAAAUUGCAGUUGAAACUGGCAGUCUUGAGUACAGUAGAGGUGGGCGGAAUUCGUGGUGUAGCGGUGAAAUGCUUAGAUAUCACGAAGAACUCCGAUUGCGAAGGCAGCUCACUGGACUGCAACUGACACUGAGGCUCGAAAGUGUGGGUAUCAAACAGGAUUAGAUACCCUGGUAGUCCACACA